UUUAAAGUUAAGCCGUUUAAGGUAUUUAGUAAAAAUAAAAUAUCUCAAUUAUUUUAAAAGCGUUCUGAAUAACUUUUUAAAACUGCUUUCAAAAGAAGUAGAGAUGAGCUUUUAAUGAAUUUUUUUAAUUCCCAAAAUACCACCAUUAAUUUUUAAUAAUGACACAAUCUCUACCACCACCUUCAUCACCUCUGCCACCACCACCACCAUCACCAUCACCAUCACCG
rnacentral:lncRNA from 1 species